GGUGUGAAAAGCGUAUUGAUCCAUGUGCACCUCCAUCUUGAUCGAUGUGAAAGGUUUUCAAAUCAGUCUUGAUGCAGAUCUUUGCAAAGGGCUGCCUAUGAAUCCAAGUGAAAUUGAAAUAAAAUGUUGGUUAAUAGAAUAAACUGAGAGAGCGGAGACGUAUUUCAACCCUCUAUAAAUACACAUUCUCACAUCAAAGAAUGAACUGAGAGAGCUGAGAUGUAUGGGAGCUAGAAGAAAAAUGUAAAGAAGAAGAAAAUAGACUUGCAGAUUCACUAAAGAAAUCCAACAAAGAGGAGGCAAAGUAUGAAGAGGAGGAAGAAGAAGAAGAAAAAUUAACCUGAUGAUGUACAGCGGAAAUGGCGGUCGGACAUGAUCAGUUAAUAAGGACAUAAACCAAGCCGAAGAUGGAGGCUGCGGUUGAUUUGAGGAGAAAGCAGGGAGAGGCGGUGGUAGAUUCUUAGACAUUUCUAUUUUAACCCUAGGUGGUGAAAAUAUUAUAGGACAACAAUAUUGGGCUUUGUAAUUACUACUCCAUUUGAUUUAGUUGUUGGUUGAGCCGCUCUCAUUUUUAAUAGAGCCCAUAAAUUUGGUUGAGCAACUCUCAGUUUGUGUGUUCGUUUUAUUAAUUUAUUUAAGUAAUUACACUAUUGGAAUUGA